GAUGAAGAACGUAGCGAAAUGCGAUAAGUAGUGUGAAUUGCAGAAUUCAGUGAAUCAUCGAAUCUUUGAACGCACAUUGCGCCCUUUGGUAUUCCAAAGGGCAUGCCUGUUCGAGCGUCAUUUGUACCCUCAAGCUUUGCUUGGUGUUGGGCGUCUUGUCUCUAGCUUUGCUGGAGACUCGCCUUAAAGUAAUUGGCAGCCGGCCUACUGGUUUCGGAGCGCAGCACAAGUCGCACUCUCUAUCAGCAAAGGUCUAGCAUCAAUUAAGCCUUUUUUUCAACUUUUGACCUCGGAUCAGGUAGGGAUACCCGCUGAACUUAAGCAUAUCAAUAAGCGGAGGA
rnacentral:misc_RNA from 1 species